UACGGAGGGUGCAAGCGUUAUCCGGAUUCACUGGGUUUAAAGGGUGCGUAGGUGGGUUGGUAAGUCAGUGGUGAAAUCUCCGUGCUUAACAUGGAAACUGCCAUUGAUACUACUGAUCUUGAAUUUUCUGGAGGUAAGCGGAAUAUGUCAUGUAGCGGUGAAAUGCUUAGAUAUGACAUAGAACACCAAUUGCGAAGGCAGCUUGCUACAGGGAUAUUGACACUGAGGCACGAAAGCGUGGGGAGCAAACAGG
rnacentral:rRNA from 1 species